UUCUACAGCAUUGGGUUUUGAUGCCGUAAGUGUUGAGAGUGACGUGGAAUCUGGAAAGGUAAUCGUAGACGAAAGAGAUGAAAUGACAGUACCUCACGUCUUUUGCAUUGGAGAUGCAGUUGAUGGUCAACCAGAGCUGACACCGCGGUGGCUAUAAAAGCAAACAAGCUGUUGUCUCAAAGGCUAUUUGGAAUUCUACACACAACAUGGACUAUAAUAAUAUUCCUACAACUGUCUUCACUCCCAUGGAAUAUGGUUGUGUUGGUUUAUCUACCGAAAAAGCAAUAAAUCAAUUUGGCAGCGAAAACAUAGAAACUUAUCAUGC